GGGUUGUGAGGUUAAGCGAAUAAGCGUACACGGUGGAUGCCUAGGCAAUCAGAGGCGAUGAAGGACGUGCUAAUCUGCGAUAAGCGUCGGUAAGGUGAUAUGAACCGUUAUACCCGACGAUUUCCGAAUGGGGAAACCCAAUAUCCAAUGGAUAUUAUCAUUAACUGAAUACAUAGGUUAAUGAAGCGAACCGGGAGAACUGAAACAUCUCAGUACCCCGAGGAAAAGAAAUCAACCGAGAUUCCCCUAGUAGCGGCGAGCGAACGGGGAACAGCCCAGAGUCUUAAUCAAUAACAGCAUCAGGAGAACGGUCUGGAAAGUCCGGCAGUAAAGGGUGAUAGCCCCGUAUCCGAAGAUGCUGUUAUUGUGAACUCGACGAGUAGGGCGGGACACGUGUUAUCCUGUCUGAAUAUGGGGGGACCAUCCUCCAAGGCUAAAUACUCCUGAUUGACCGAUAGUGAACCAGUACCGUGAGGGAAAGGCGAAAAGAACCCCGGCGAGGGGAGUGAAAAAGAACCUGAAACCGUGUACGUACAAGCAGUAGGAGCCCCACCACUAAGCUAGUGGUGAACUCACAGCGAUUCUUUUGCAUGAUAAUGUGCGGUAGACGGAGCGAAUGCGACGUCCAACCAACAAAAUCAAGCAGAGGAGGCUUAGUGGUGGGGUGACUGCGUACCUUUUGUAUAAUGGGUCAGCGACUUAUAUUCUGUAGCAAGGUUAACCGUAUAGGGGAGCCGUAGGGAAACCGAGUCUUAACUGGGCGAAUGAGUUGCAGGGUAUAGACCCGAAACCCGGUGAUCUAUCCAUGGGCAGGUUGAAGGUUGGGUAACACUAACUGGAGGACCGAACCGACUAAUGUUGAAAAAUUAGCGGAUGACUUGUGGAUGGGGGUGAAAGGCCAAUCAAACCGGGAGAUAGCUGGUUCUCCCCGAAAGCUAUUUAGGUAGCGCCUCGUGAACUCAUCUUCGGGGGUAGAGCACUGUUUCGACUAGGGGGUCAUCCCGACUUACCAACUCGAUGCAAACUGCGAAUACCGAAGAAUGUUAUCACGGGAGACACACGGCGGGUGCUAACGUCCGUCGUGAAGAGGGAAACAACCCAGACCGCCAGCUAAGGUCCCAAAGUCAUGGUUAAGUGGGAAACGAAGUGGGAAGGCUCAGACAGCCAGGAUGUUGGCUUAGAAGCAGCCAUCAUUUAAAGAAAGCGUAAUAGCUCACUGGUCGAGUCGGCCCGCGCGGAAGAUGUAACGGGGCUAAACCAUGCACCGAAGCUGCGGCAGCGAACGUAUCACUUAAAUUUGUUUGAGUGAGACACGAUUGACGGAACGAAGUGACGUCAAUGCGUCCAUGAAAGUCGAGGCGAAAGCCCGAUAAGCGAAUUUAAGGAUACGUUCGUUGGGUAGGGGAGCGUUCUGUAAGCCUGCGAAGGUGUACUGUGAGGUAUGCUGGAGGUAUCAGAAGUGCGAAUGCUGACAUAAGUAACGAUAAUGCGGGUGAAAAACCCGCACGCCGGAAGACCAAGGGUUCCUGUCCAACGUUAAUCGGGGCAGGGUGAGUCGACCCCUAAGGCGAGGCUGAAAAGCGUAGUCGAUGGGAAACGGGUUAAUAUUCCCGUACUGGUGGUAACUGCGAUGGGGGAACGGAGAAGGCUAGGUUGUCCGGGCGACGGUCGUCCCGGUUCAAGCAUGUAGGCAGAGUGAUUAGGCAAAUCCGGUCACUUAAUGCUGAGGUGUGAUGACGAGCCACUAAGGUGGUGAAGCAAUUGAUGCCCUGCUUCCAGGAAAAGCCUCUAAGCUUCAGGUUACCAACAAUCGUACCCCAAACCGACACAGGUGGUCAGGUAGAGAAUACUCAGGCGCUUGAGAGAACUCGGGUGAAGGAACUAGGCAAAAUGGUGCCGUAACUUCGGGAGAAGGCACGCUGGCGGUAAGUGAAGUCCCUCGCGGACGGAGCCGAAGCCAGUCGAAGAUACCAGCUGGCUGCAACUGUUUAUUAAAAACACAGCACUGUGCAAACACGAAAGUGGACGUAUACGGUGUGACGCCUGCCCGGUGCUGGAAGGUUAAUUGAUGGGGUUAUCCUUAGGGAGAAGCUCUUGAUCGAAGCCCCAGUAAACGGCGGCCGUAACUAUAACGGUCCUAAGGUAGCGAAAUUCCUUGUCGGGUAAGUUCCGACCUGCACGAAUGGCGUAAUGAUGGCCAGGCUGUCUCCACCCGAGACUCAGUGAAAUUGAACUCGCUGUGAAGAUGCAGUGUACCCGCGGCAAGACGGAAAGACCCCGUGAACCUUUACUAUAGCUUGACACUGAACAUUGAGCCUUGAUGUGUAGGAUAGGUGGGAGACUAUGAAGUGUGGACGCCAGUCUGCAUGGAGUCAACCUUGAAAUACCACCCUUUAACGUUUGAUGUUCUAACCUAGGCCAUAAUCUGGGUCGGGGACCGUGUCUGGUGGGUAGUUUGACUGGGGCGGUCUCCUCCUAAAGAGUAACGGAGGAGCACGAAGGUUGGCUAAGCAUGGUCGGACAUCAUGCGGUUAGUGCAAAGGCAUAAGCCAGCUUGACUGUGAGAGUGACGGCUCGAGCAGGUACGAAAGUAGGUCUUAGUGAUCCGGUGGUUCUGAAUGGAAGGGCCAUCGCUCAACGGAUAAAAGGUACUCCGGGGAUAACAGGCUGAUACCGCCCAAGAGUUCAUAUCGACGGCGGUGUUUGGCACCUCGAUGUCGGCUCAUCACAUCCUGGGGCUGAAGUAGGUCCCAAGGGUAUGGCUGUUCGCCAUUUAAAGUGGUACGCGAGCUGGGUUUAGAACGUCGUGAGACAGUUCGGUCCCUAUCUGCCGUGGGCGUUGGAAGAUUGAGAGGGGUUGCUCCUAGUACGAGAGGACCGGAGUGAACGCACCACUGGUGUUCGGGUUGUCAUGCCAAUGGCAUUGCCCGGUAGCUAAGUGCGGAAGAGAUAACCGCUGAAAGCAUCUAAGCGGGAAACUUGCCUCGAGAUGAGUCUUCCCUGUCACCUAGAGUGACCUAAAGGAACGUUUAAGACUAAGACGUUGAUAGGCUGGGUGUAUAAGCGUAGCGAUACGUUGAGCUAACCAGUACUAAUGAACCGUGAGGCUUAACCUGACAACACCGAAGGUGUUU
rnacentral:rRNA from 1 species